GUUACGUUAACAUACCAGACACGUACUCAGUUCGUUGUCUAUGCGUCAUGUAUGUAUGCUGAAUGUGUUACGUUAGCAUACCGUAACCCUAUUCAGCCUGUUGUUCUCUAAUCCAUUAUUAUUUUAAAUUGCCUUUCAAGAUGAAAUUGUCUGUUCUUGAUCUCGGAUUUUAUCAAAUAAAUUUCCCCCAGAAAUGCGACUUAUAGUCCAGUGCGACUUAUAUAUGUUUUUUUCUUCUUUAUUAUACAUUUUUUGGCUGGUGCGACUUAUACUCUGGAGCGACUUAUAGUCAGAAAAAUACAGUAUAUGCAUCCUGACAAUGUAG